rnacentral:rRNA from 1 species
AUUGAACGCUGGCGGAAUGCUUUACACAUGCAAGUCGAACGGUAGAGGGGGCAACCCCUCGAGAGUGGCGAACGGGUGAGUAAUAUAUCGGAACGUGCCCAGUCGGGGGGGAUAACGUAGCGAAAGUUACGCUAAUACCGCAUACGAUCUACGGAUGAAAGCGGGGGAUCGCAAGACCUCGCGCGAUUGGAGCGGCCGAUGUCAGAUUAGGUAGUUGGCGAGGUAAGAGCUCACCUAGGCGACGAUCAGUAGCGGGGCUGAGAGGAUGGUCCGCCACACUGGGACUGAGACACGGCGCAGACUCCUACGGGAGGCAGCAGUGGGGAAUUUUGGACAAUGGGCGCAAGCCUGAUCCAGCCAUGCCGCGUGUCUGAAGAAGGCCUUCGGGUUGUAAAGGACUUUUGUCAGGGAGGAAAUCCUUAGCGCUAAUACCGUUGAGGGAUGACAGUACCUGAAGAAUAAGCACCGGCUAACUACGUGCCAGCCGCCGCGGUAA